UUCACUCUUAAAAGAUCAUCUCUGAGAGUGGCAUCUUCAAACCCAGUGGACAGAAAACUAUGUGGAGGUCAUGGGAAUCAGGAUCACCUACACCCUUGAGUCAGUGCAUCCUACCAUUUUGAUACUCAUCCCAACCCACAGAGAUGCCAGGUUUCUGAAGUGGAUACUUACCUCACAAUCUUGUCCCAUGAUGCUUACUAUUGUAGUCUGAGAAGAUUCACCACGAGGAUUCCUGAUAACUUGGCUGUUGUUCAGAGAACAGAAAGAAGAGGACACAACAAUCAAUGAAUUGUAUCUAUCGAACACUUACUGUGUGUACCAUAUGCAGAACAUUGUAUUAACACUGUAUUAAAU